rnacentral:tRNA from 1 species
GGAUUGUGGCUUAGCGGUAGGGCACUCAUCUAGCACAUACAAGGCCCUGGGUUCGAUCCUCAGCACCA